CGUAAUCAACGAACACCGUCCCAGUUCACGUACCAAAGAUAGACUUCAGUUUCUAAAGUAUCGUGGCGAGAUGAUUCAUUUUACGGAAAACGUUAGCGUAUUUUUAACGGCCAGGACAAAAUCGCGGCGAGAAAAUUUAAGCGACGUCGUGUUACGAUCGUACGGUCCGUGGCGUGCAUUUUUGGUCGCGGGCCGACGUACCGGUUGGAGGCUCUUCAAGAUUCACGGCGCUCCAAGAUUAUGACGUGUAAAUCGAGACGAUACGACACAGUCUACC
rnacentral:misc_RNA from 1 species